rnacentral:rRNA from 1 species
GACGAACGCUGGCGGCGUGCUUAACACAUGCAAGUCGAACGGAAAGGCCCUGCUUUUGUGGGGUGCUCGAGUGGCGAACGGGUGAGUAACACGUGAGUAAACUGCCCUUGACUUUGGGAUAACUUCAGGAAACUGGGGCUAAUACCGGAUAGGAGCUCCUGAUGCAUGGUGGGGGUUGGAAAGUUUCGGCGGUUGGGGAUGGACUCGCGGCUUAUCAGCUUGUUGGUGGGGUAGUGGCUUACCAAGGCUUUGACGGGUAGCCGGCCUGUGAGGGUGACCGGCCCCAUGGGCACGGAGGUACGGCCCAGACUCCCCCGGGAGGCAACGGGGGGGAAUUUUGCCAAAUGGGCGGAGGCCUGAUGCACCACCGCCGCGUGCGGGAACACGGCCUUCGGGUUAGAAACCGUUUCCCCCUUUGACGAAACGUGUGGGACGUAAAUGGGAAAAGAACCACCGCCAAACUACGG